rnacentral:lncRNA from 1 species
GGGGGGUUUGGAGGAGGAGAAACUCUCCGAUGGGAAAGAGAAAGAGGAGGAGGAGGAGGGUGGGAAUCUGGGAAAGCAGAAUGAGAGAGCGGAGGAAGGCUGAUAAAGUUUUCCUGCAGCUGGAGUUUGAGUCGGUCACAGACUGCUUUUCUUCUGCUCGCAGCACACAAACGGAGGAUUUAAAGAGCUGGAGCAGAGGAGCAGACAGCAGAAGGAAUAGCAGAGAGGAUCAUGAGUGUGGAUGCCGUCUUUCCUGGGCUCAGAUUUCACAAAAUGAGAGACCACUGCACUACUGCAGGGCGCAUGCAACAGAGCAAGGAUGCCAUCUGCUAGCACCAUGACUGGCGGGAGAGCAUUGCUGCUCUGUACAAACACAGAGGACUGCAUCUACCAAUCAGCAAACGGGUAUGUACAGUACACUUAAACAAAAAGUUCAACCAAAAAUAAAAAGAACCCAAUAAUCUACUCAUCAUUAAACCAUCUUUGAUGUAUAUUAUUUUCUACUAUCAGACAAACAGAGUCGGAGUAGGUUUUAAUCGUAUCCUGGUUCUUGG